rnacentral:tRNA from 1 species
AGCAGUGUGGCUCAGUGAAAAGAGCUCGGCCUUGGGAGUCGAAGGUCAUGGGUUCGAAUCCCCUCUCUGCUC